rnacentral:rRNA from 1 species
GAAGAAAGCUGGGGCGGCAGGCUAACACAUGCAAGUCGAGCGCUCACUUCGGUGGGAGCGGCGGACGGGUUAGUAACGCGUGGGAACGUGCCCAGAUCUAAGGAAUAGCCACUGGAAACGGUGAGUAAUACCUUAUACGCCCUUCGGGGGAAAGAUUUAUCGGAUUUGGAUCGGCCCGCGUUAGAUUAGAUAGUUGGUGGGGUAAUGGCCUACCAAGUCUACGAUCUAUAGCUGGUUUUAGAGGAUGAUCAGCAACACUGGGACUGAGACACGGCCCAGACUCCUACGGGAGGCAGCAGUGGGGAAUCUUGGACAAUGGGGGCAACCCUGAUCCAGCCAUGCCGCGUGAGUGAUGAAGGCCUUAGGGUCGUAAAGCUCUUUCGCCAGGGAUGAUAAUGACAGUACCUGGUAAAGAAACCCCGGCUAACUCCGUGCCAGCAGCCGCGGUAAUACGGAGGGGGUUAGCGUUGUUCGGAAUUACUGGGCGUAAAGCGCGCGUAGGCGGAUUGGAAAGUUGGGGGUGAAAUCCCGGGGCUCAACCCCGGAACUGCCUCCAAAACUAUCAGUCUAGAGUUCGAGAGAGGUGAGUGGAAUUCCGAGUGUAGAGGUGAAAUUCGUAGAUAUUCGGAGGAACACCAGUGGCGAAGGCGGCUCACUGGCUCGAUACUGACGCUGAGGUGCGAAAGUGUGGGGAGCAAACAGGAUUAGAUACCCUGGUAGUCCACACCGUAAACGAUGAAUGCCAGUCGUCGGCAAGCAUGCUUGUCGGUGACACACCUAACGGAUUAAGCAUUCCGCCUGGGGAGUACGGUCGCAAGAUUAAAACUCAAAUGAAUUGACGGAAGGGC